rnacentral:lncRNA from 1 species
CAGUAGCCCCGCCCCUCGUUCGCUAUCCUCCAAUAACAUUGCAGCAGGAUCAGACAGAGGACGUAGCCCCGCCCACUGUCGGAUCAACGGACAAACAGUCUCUACGCUCACUCACGGACACUUGCCGCUCCUGCUGGAACAUCUGAGCCGCGCGACUGUUAUUUUAUGUUGUUUAUAUUAGUUUGCUGGAUGAUCGCGUGCUGCACGUAGUAACGGUCGCAGCAUCCCCGCCCGCCCUGGAGUUGAGCACGGAUCGUGAAGCGCAGGUUUUGUUCAGCAGAGGAUUUGGAGCGAGUGCAGCGGAGGACGCAGAAGAGCCGUCGCCAUGUGCAUUUGACAAAUACCCGGUAACUGUAUUCUGUGUGUGUGUGUUCAUUUAACACUAUAUAAAAGCAUUAGUGCUGCUGCUGUUUGCUGUGUAUGUGUGUGAAGCUGUGAUUAGGAUUAGUCUGCAGUUUGGCCAUGAAGUCAGUCGCAGUCUCCGCAACACCUGUUUCUACAAACCUUAAACCACACACACACACAGCAUAGCACCUGUUCACUCAUGCUGUCGUUGUCGGUCCCACUGCUGUCUGAACACCUGCUGUUGUUUCACGUGUGAGCAAAUGUUGACAGCGGUGUUUUGAUAGUGAGGCCAGCAGUCGACGUCGCUCAGC